UGGCCCUACGGAGGCAGCAGUGGGGAAUAUUGGGCAAUGGAGGAAACUCUUACCCAGCAAUGCCGCGUGAAUGAAGAAGGUCUUCGGAUUGUAAAGUUCUUUAAUUGGGGACGAAAAAAAUGACGGUACCCAAGGAAUAAGCCCCGGCUAACUACGUGCCAGCAGCCGCGGUAAUACGUAGGGGGCAAGCGUUGUUCGGAAUGACUGGGCGUAAAGGGUGUGUAGGCGGUUUAGCAAGGUAGGAGUGAGAUACCUAGAGCUUAACUCAGGUGCUGCUUCUAAAACUGCUAGACUUGAGUGCAGUA
rnacentral:rRNA from 1 species